rnacentral:rRNA from 1 species
CGUGGUUGAUCCUGCCAGUUCUAUAUGCUUGGUCAUAAGUCUAAGCCAUGCAAGCACGAAUAUGUGUAUACAUAAUCUGUGAAUGGCUUAUUACAGCGAUUCUCACAUUUCGGUGAUUGUCUAAGGAUAUCAGCAUUAAAUUUGGAGCUAAUACAUGCAAUUCAUGCCAUUUAUGGCGCACUUAUUAGACCGGCUUCGGCUUGGUGACUCUGAAUAAGGUUGUUAUCGCACUUAGUGCAGUCCACCGAUCAAGGUUUUGCCUCUUCAAACUCGCCGUUGGGCUUCGGUCUCUACGGGGUUUUUAAGGGUAACGGAGAAUAAGGGUUCGACUCCGGAGAAGAAGCCUGAGAAAUCGCUACUACUGCUAAGGGAGGCAGCAGGCGCGCAAAUUAUCCGAUCUUUUUUCUUGGAGAUAGUGACUGUUUGGAAAUGGCCGACUCCCCAAUGGGGAUCGCGCCUCUUGGUGAAUUCAAGUAAAUUCUCAGUUGGAUUGUGAGUGGAGGGCAAGUCUGGUGCCAGCAGCCGCGGUAACACCUGCUCCGCUAGCAUACAUGAUAUGUGCUGCAGUUAAAAGGCUCGUAGUUGGAUCUAAGCAUUGGACACCUUUGGUGUCCGAGCUGUUCGCUUACCACUUGUGGUAGUGAACUACUGUGAAGAAAGUAAGAAGCUUAAAUCAGGCGAAUGCUUGAAUAAUCAAUCAUGGAAUAAUAGAGAGAGUUCGGACUCGUCUUUUGGUGAUUCGAAGUCGAAAGUUGAUUAAGAGGGACAACUCGGGGGCAUUCGUACCGCUACGCGAGAGGUGAAAUUCGUUGACCGUAGCGAGACGUCCAAUAGCGAAAGCAUUUGCCAAGGGUGUUUUCUUUAAUCAAGAACGAAGGUCGGAGGUUCGAAGGAGAUUAGAUACCGCCGUAGUUCUGACUACAAACUAUACCGCCUGGCAAUCCGAUGCGAUCUUCGGAUCAAUUCGGGGAGCCAACUCGGAAACGCAAGUUCGGUUCCGGGGGGAGUACGGUUGCAAAGCUGAAACUUAAAGGAAUUGACGGAAGGGCACCACCAGGAGUGGAGCCUGCGGCUUAAUUUGACUUAACACGGGAAACCUCACCCGGGUAAGCUGAAGGUAUGAUUGACGGCUUAUUGCUCUCUCGAUUCUUCUUAAGGUGGUGCAUGGCCGUUUCCAGUCCGUGAAACGGUUUGUCUGGUUUAUUCCGAUAACGAGCGAGACUCUUACCUCUAAUAAGGCUUCUGACCGCUUCGGCGAUUCAGGAGGUUACCUCUUAGAGGGACAAUAAAUAAAGUUUAGUGAGAGAGAGCGAUAACAGGUCUGUUAUGCCCUAAGAUAUCCGGGGCCGCACGCGGGCUACCUUGGGCGGGUCAAUACGAGCUGGUGCCGAGAGGCUCUAGCAAACGGUUGAACCUUGCCCUCAGUUGGAAUAGAGAAUUGAAAGUUUCUCCUCAACGAGGAAUCCCUAGUAAACGUGAGUCAUUAACUCACAUUGAAUAGGUCCCUGCCCUUUGUACACACCGCCCGUCGCUAUCCGGAAAAGGCUGUCGAGAGAGAUGUGGGGAGCUGAUACGGUUUCCGUUUGGUGAACCACUUCGAUCUUAAUGGCUUCGACCGGGUAAAAGUCGUAACAAGGUGCGGGUAGGUGAACCUGUCCGCG